rnacentral:lncRNA from 1 species
CACCCUCUGCCUAGCGUAGCGCACCGUCCGCGGCGACGGCGGUGUCCGCCCGCCCACCCACCCACCGCCGCACGUUUCCUCCUGCGCGCCGCCUCGGAUCAGCCCGAGCCCACCGCGUCGGCGCCGCCCCCACCCGUCUAAACAACCACGGAGGCCGCGGCCGGCCGCGUCUCUCUCUCUCUCUCUCCUCGCCGAGGCCACCGUCCGUCUCAUCUAGCCGGCCGCGGGGAUGAGGCGAUCGUCGAGCGGGGCGCGCGUGUCGGACAGCGGCGGCGGCGUGAGCGGGAGCGAGGCGGCGCUGCCGCAGGCGCUGGGACGCGCCGUGCACUGCAUCCCUGUCGUGCUUCUCGUCUGCGCCCUCCUCCUCUGGCUCUCCGCCUCCUCCCACACCCACCUCGGUAAGGUUCAGACCCCGCCUUGCCCUAGAAUGUUCCUCUCUGCAGUCUGCUUGCUGCUGCGAUGGUGAAUUGGCGAUUCCCUAGGGGGCGGUAACCGGUAACUCGUCAGCUGAACUCGAUUGUGCCUGGGAGGUUUUUAUGAAGUGAGAUCCUUCAGCUCGAGGACGAUGAGAUAGACAUCUCAGUUUCAUACCUGGAAUACUAACAACGCGAAACUAAUGAGAAAUCUAAGCUAAAAAUGAGAAUAAAAGAAGAUGAGAAUGCCCUGUUCUGUUUCAGUCUUGCAAGUUCUGAAGACACAGGAAAAUAUUUUUGAUUCGUAAUUAAACUAAUUACAGUUUUAAAAGUGCUCCUUCUGCUUUGUGACCUGGAUGCACUAAAAAAAAUUGUCGAGACAUACAUAACCAUAAUUUCUAGCUGUCGCCAAGAGGGAAAGUAUCAGGCACCACUGCCCUCAGAACAUGGGCUAGCGUAUGGUAGAUGGGCAUCUUCAGGUCUGUCUGUCGACAUUGUUAAAUGCAGGGCACUGUCCUAUUUCCAGCAAUCAGUCUCCAAUCCCUUUUCCUAUAUAUCAAUUAUACUGGGGUCAUUCUUUCCUUCCGCCUUGGCUUGCACCAUUUCCUCUGCUCCGCACGUUUGCUUCUUGCACAGUACCUCCACCGAACAUGCAUUUUUGCAGAGCUGUAUUCAGGGACGACGGAGCCAGGAAAAAAAAUUAGUAGGGGCUGAAUUGAACCGCUAUAGCGAUAUAACUUGACUAAAUCACUCAUAAGCUUACAAGAGGACGCUGAUUGAACGUUUUCUUGAAAUAGUAUUGUUGUGUAUGCCAACGCUGCAAGACCACAGAACGUGUUCGUGUUAUCGCCACCUUGUCCUGAACUCAUGAACCGACUGGAAACCAUCGGUUUGGUUUAGGAUUCCCGAUCGUAUUGGCAUUUUUCAAAGACGCAGGAGAGAAAAAAACAUUGCUGAAAGUGUCUUUGAAAUGCACAUCAACCCACUUGAAUACCAUAAUUCCAAUUUGGAUACAAUGUCCACUCCCACGCACUUCACAGUUAUGGCCUAUCAACUUUCAGGCUCCACGGUGCAUCUGACGGUGCCCACUCACCACUGACACGAUACAGUUGUGCAUACCAAUGUUCUUUGUGCUGCUGAAAUACUUUCUGAUGUUGGUGAUUUUUGCUGUGCAGAUUGAGAGUACCAGCGGGGAUCUUAAGUGAACCUGGCGGGUAGAGUCUGGUUCUGUUACACUUGUACCACUGAAGAGUUCCGAGUUCCAAAAGAGAAAGAGAAAGGUAAAGCAGGCUAGACAUGAUCAUCAGCUGGCAAUACAUAGGUGCGGAUUAGCAUGGAAAGUAGCUCAUUUACUAGCAGGCAAUUUUUUGGAAGUCUUAAGGCCAUACUGAGUUGGACUGGUUUGGCUCAGCGUUACAUACUGUAUACAACGAAUGCCCAAUGUAACCUUUCCCAACACAAUGCUGUUCUGAUAUUCUUUCUGUACAUGUCCUUGUUUUUUUUUUGGACAUUCUAUUUCUAUACAAGCAUACAUGUGGAUGUCAUAGUCUCAUGAAGUGGCAGAGUGUUAGCACUGAGAUAGGGGAAACGAGUAGAGAAACUAUAUUGGGGAAGGAGUAAGAAUUAGGGGGAGAGGUGGGAGACGAGAGCCGGCGGCGUCUCGGGAGUUUCUCAUUAAUCUCAUCAAAGUUGUAACCUUAUUACAAAACAGAAGUAUAUAUCUUCACUCGAGUCGGCCCACUAUGCCUACUUG